GAUGAAGAACGUAGCGAAAUGCGAUACGUAAUGUGAAUUGCAGAAUUCAGUGAAUCAUCGAGUCUUUGAACGCACAUUGCGCCCCCUGGUAUUCCGGGGGGCAUGCCUGUCCGAGCGUCAUUGCUGCCCUCAAGCACGGCUUGUGUGUUGGGCCUCCGUCCUCCUCCCGGGGGACGGGCCCGAAAGGCAGCGGCGGCACCGCGACCGGUCCUCGAGCGUAUGGGGCUUCGUCACCCGCUCUUGUAGGCCCGGCCGGCGCUUGCCGACACAUCAAUCUUUUUUCCAGGUUGACCUCGGAUCAGGUAGGGAUACCCGCUGAACUUAAGCAUAUCAAUAAGCGGAGGA
rnacentral:misc_RNA from 1 species